GAAAAAGAAAAAAAAGAGAGAAAGCGGCAUUUGAGACAUGCCAAUUCCUAACAGUAUAGUGCUCCAUCAAUGGCUUUCAUUUCAGAGGUACUCCAUCUCUCCCUACAUGCUCUUCAUUGAAUGAUCCCAAGACAGCCAUUGCCUCUGUCACAGAUUCUCCUAACAGAUUCUCCAUUAAAUGUUUCCAAGACAGCCAUCGCAUCUGUCAGAUCAUUCAAGAACCCAAAUCCAGUUGCUGCUUCAUACUAGCAUUGUUGUUUCCAUCUUCCAUCUUCUACAUCCUGACAGAGAAAUCUGAAAAAAAAUUAGAAACAAGAACACCACGACUGGGAGUGGAAACUGCGUCUACUAUGAAAGACCUUAAUUCAUGGAACCCUGAAAUAGAAAGAUGCACUUGAGACCUGCAAAUACUUAACAGUUCCGUGCUCCAUUAAUGGGUUUCAGUUCAGAGGUAAUGCAUCUCUAUCACAUGCUCUCCAUUGAAUGUGCCCAAGAGAGCCAUUGCCUCUGUCACAGAACCUUUCAAGAAGCCUAAUCCAGUUGCUGCUUCAUACAGCCAUUGUUGUUUUCAUCUUCCAUCUUCUACAUCAUGACAGUAAAAUCUGAGAAAAAGACUACCAGGCAUGGGAGUGGAAACUGGCCUGUACUACGAAUGCCCUAAAGUCAUGGGACACCGAAAAAGAAAGAAAGGUAGACCCAUUGGAGACCUGCAAAUUCCUAACACUACAGUAAUCCAUCAAUGGCUUUCAGUUCACAGGUAAUCCAUCUCUCCUAACAUGCGCUCCAUUUAAUGUGCCCAAGACAGCCAUUGCCUCUGUCACAGAACAUUUCAAGAACACUAAUCCAGUUGCUGCUUCAGACAGGCAUUGUUGUUUCCAUCUGCCAUCUUCUACAUCAUGACCUGAAGUUCUGAGGUAAAAAACACCAGGCCCAGAGUGGAAGCUGGCCUUACUAUGAAAGACCUAAUAGUCAUGGGAUCCUGAAAAAGAAAGAGCAACCCAUUUGAGACCUGAAAAUUUCUAACAGUUCAGUGCUCCAUCAAUGCCUUUCAGUUUAGAGGUUAUAUGUCUCUUCUAACAUGCUCUCCACUUCAUGUUCCCAAGAUAACCAUUGCCUCUGUCACAGAAGAUUUCAAGAACAUUAACCCAGCUGAUGCUUCAAACAGUCAUUGUCAUUUCCAUCUUCCAUCUUCUAGAGCAUGACAGUAAAUUUGGGGGAAAACACUCCAAACCUAGGAGUGCAUUCUGGCCUGUACGCUGAAUGCCCUGAAGUCAUGGAACCCCCAGAAGAAAGAAAGACCCACUGGAGACCUGCCAAUACCUAACAGUUCAGUGCACCUUCAUUGGCUGUCACUUCUGAGGUCAUAUAUCUCUACUAACAUGCUCUUCAUUUAAUGUUCCCAAGGCAACCAUUGACUGUCACAGAAAUUCUCAGAACCCUAAUCCAGUUGCUGCUCCACACAGGCAUUGUCGCUUCCUUCUUCCAUCUUCUACAUCGUGACACUGAAAUCUGAGGAAAAGAACACUAUGCCUGGGAGUGGAUGCUGGCCUUUACUAUGAAAGACCUAAAGUCAGAGAAGAAAAGAAAGACCUGCUUGAGACCUGCCAAUUCCUAACACUUCAGUGCUCUGUAAUUGGCUAUCACUUCUGAGACAGGCAUUGUCGUUUCCAUCUUCCAUCUUCUACAUCAUGACAGUGAAAUCUGAGGAAAAGAACACCAAGACUGGGAGUGGAAGCUGGCCUGUACUGUGAAUACUCUAAAGUCAUGGGGCCCUGAAAACGAGUGAAGGACCCCUGUAAGACAUACAAUUCCCAACAGUUCAUUGCUGCAAAAAUGCCUUUCAGUUCAGAGGUAAUCCUUCUCUCCUAACAUGCUCUCCAUUUAGUGUACCCAAGACAGCCAUUGCCUCUGUCACAGAACAUUUCAAGAACCUUAAUCCAGUUACUGCUUCAGACAGGCAUUGUUAUUUCCUUCUUCCAACUUCUACAUUAUGACAGUAAACUCUGAGGAAUAGAAUACCUCCACUGGAAGUGGAAGCUUCCUGAACUAUGAUUGCCCUAAAAUCAUGGAACACUGAAAAAGAAAGAAAGAUCCACUUGAGACAUGCAAAUUCCUAACAGAUUAGUGCUCCAUAAGUGGCUUUCAGUUCAGAGGUAAUCCAUCUCUCCUGAUACACUCUCCAUUUAAUGUGCCCAAGACAGCCAUUGCCUCUGUCAGAGAACAUUUCAAGAACCCUAAUCCAGUUGCUGCUUCAGAAGUCAUUGUGUGGAUUUCACCUUCCAUCUUCUACAGUAUGACUGUAAAAUCUGAUGAAAAGAUUUCCACACCUUGUCGUUGAAGCCCUCCUUUACUAUGAAUGCCAUAAAGUUAUGCGACCCGGAAAUCAAAAGACCUGCUUAAGACAUGUAAUAUUCUAACAGUUCAGUGCUCCAUCAAUGGCUUUCACUUCAGAGGUAAUCCAUCUCUCCUAACUUGAUCUCCCUUUAAUGUGCCCCAGACAGCCAUUGCCUCUGUCACAGAACAUUUCUAGAACCCUACUGCAGUUUGUACUUCACACAGGCAUUGUUGUUUCCAUCUUCCAUCUUCUACAUCAUGACAGUAAAAUCGGAGAAAAAGAACACCACACCUGGGAGUGGGAGCUGGCCUGUACUAUGAAUGCCCUAAACUCAUGGGACACCAAAAAACAAAGAAAGAUAGACCCAUUUGAGACCUGCAAAUUUCUAACACUACAGUGCUCCAUCAAUGGCUUUCAGUUCAGGGGUAAUCCAUCUCUUUUCACAUACUCUUCAUGGGAUGUGCCCAAGACAGCCAUUGCCUCUGUCACAAAACAUUUCAAGAACCUUAAUCCAGUUGCUGCUUCACACAGGCAUUGUUGUUUCCGUCUUCCAUCUUAUACAUCAUGACUGUAAAAUCUGAGGAAAAGAACACCAUGCCUGUGAGUGGAAGCCUCCCAUACUAUGAAGGCUCUAAAUGCAUGGUACACUGAAAAAGAAAGACCCAGUUGAGACAUGCAAAUUCCUAACAGGUCAGUGCUCCCUAUGUGGCUUUCAAUUGAGAGGUGAUCCAUCUCUCCUGAUACACUCUUCAUUUAAUGUGCUCAAGAGAGCCAUUGCCUCUGUCACAGAACAUUUGAAGAACUCUAAUCCAGUUACUACUUCAAAAGUCAUUGUCCUUUCCACCUUCCAUCUUCUCAAUCAUGACCUGAAAAUCUGAGGAAUAGAACACAAUGCCUGGGAGUGAAAGCUGAACAUUAGAAUGAAAGACCCAAAAGUCAUGGGACCAUGAAAAAGAAAGAAUGACUCAUUUGAGACCUGAACAUACCUAACAGUUCAAUGCUCCAUCAAUGCCUUUCAGUUUACAGUUUAUAUGUCUCUCCUAACAUGCUUUCCAUUUCAAGUUCCCAAGAUAACCAUUGCCUCUGUCACAGAAGAUUUCAAGAACACUAACCCAGCUGCUGCUUCAAACAGUCAUUGUCAUUUCCAUCUUGCAUCUUCUAGAGCAUGACAGUGAAAUUUCGGAGAAAAUACUCCAAACCUGGGAGUGCAUGCUGGCCUGUACUCUGAAUGCCCUGAAGUCAUGGAACCCCCAGAAGAAAGAAAGACCCAUUGGAGACCUGUCAAUUCCUAACAGUACAGUGCACCUUCAUUGGCUGUCACUUCUGAGGUCAUAUAUCUCUACUAAAUGCUCUUCACUUAAUGUUUCCAAGACAACCAUUGACUGUCACAGAACUUUUCAGAAGCCUAAUGCAGUUGCUGCUCCACAUAGGCAUUGUCCUUUCCUUCUUCCACCUUCUACAUCAUGACGCUGAAAUCUGAGGAAGAGAACACCAUGCCUGGGAGUGGAUGCUGGCCUUUACUAUGAAAGACCUAAAGUCAGAGAAGAAAAGAAAGACCUGCUUGAAACCUGCCAAUUCCUAACACUUCAGUGCUCUGUAAUUGGCUAUCACUUCUGAGGUAAUUUCUCUCUGUGUUAACGUGCUCUCCAUUUACUAUUCCCAAGAUAGGAUUGCCUCUGUCACAGAACAUUUCAAGAACCCUAAUUCACUUGCUCCUUCAGACAGGCAUUGUCGUUUCCAUCUUCCAUCUUCUACAUCAUGACAGUGAAAUCUGAGGAAAAUAACACCAAGCCUGGGAGUGGAAGCUGGCCUGUACUGUGAAUGCCCUAAACUCAUGAGACCCUGAGAAAGAGUGGAGGACCCCUGUGAGACAUACAAUUCCCAACAGUUCAUUGCUGCCAAAAUGGCUUUCAGUUCAGAGGUAAUCCUUCUCUCCUAACAUGCUCUCCAUUUAAUGUGCCCCAAAUGGCCAUUGCCUCUGUCACAGAACAUUUCAAGAACCCUAAUCCAGUUGCUGCUUCACACAGGCAUUGUUAUUCCUUCUUCCAACUUCUACAUUAUGAUAGUAAACUCUGAAGAAUACAAUACCUCCACUGGGAGUGUAAGCUUCCCAAACUAUGAUUGCCCUAAAAUCAUGGAACACUGAAAAAGAAAGAAAGAUCCACUUGAGACAUGAAAAUUCCUAACAGAUCAGUGCUCCAUAAGUGGCUUUCAGUUCAGAGGUAAUCCAUCUCUCCUGAUACACUCUUCAUUUAAUGUGCUCAAGAGAGCCAUUGCCUCUGUCACAGAAAAUUUGAAGAACCCUAAUCCAGUUGCUGCUUCAGAAGUCAUUGUGUGGAUUCCACCUUCCAUCUUCUACAUCAUGACCUGAAAAUCUGUGGAUAGAACACCAUGCCUGAAAGUUAAACCUGAACAUUAGUAUGAAAGAUCCAAAAGUCAUGGGACCAUGAAAAAGAAAGAAUGACUCAUUUGAGACCUGAACGUACCUAACAGUUCAGUGCUCCAUCAAUGCCUUUCAGUUUACAGUUUAUAUGUCUCUCCUAACAUGCUUUCCAUUUCAAGUUCCCAAGAUAGCCAUUGCCUCUGUCACAGAAGAUUUCAAGAACACUAACCAAGCUGCUGCUUCAAACAGUCAUUGUCAUUUUCAUCUUCCAUCUUCUAGAGCAUGACAGUAAAUUUGGGGGAAAAUACCCCAAACCUGGGAGUGCAUGCUGGCCUGUACUCUGAAUGCCCUGAAGUCAUGGAACCCGCAGAAGAAAGAAAGACCCAUUGGAGACCUGUCAAUUCCUAACAGUACAGUGCACCUUCAUUGGCUGUCACUUCUGAGGUCAUACAUCUCUACUAACAUGCUCUUCAUUUAAUGUUUCCAAGACAACCAUUGACUGUCACAGAACUUUUCAGAACCCUAAUGCAGUUGAUGCUCCACACAGGCAUUGUCCUUUCCUUCUUCCAUCUUCUACAUCAUGACUCUGAAAUCUGAGAAAAAGAACACCAUGCCUGGGAGUGGAUGCUGGCCUUUACUAUGAAUGACCAAAGUCAGAGAAGAAAAGAAAGACCUACUUGAGACCUGAAAAUUCCUAACAUUCAGUGCUCUGUAAUUGGGUAUCACUUCUAAGACAGGCAAUGUUGUUUCCAUCUUGCGUCUUCUACAUCAUGACAGUGAAAUCUGAGGAAAAGAACACAAGCCUGGGAGUGGAAGCUGGCCUGUACUGUGAAUGCCCUAAACUCAUGAGACCCUGACAAAAAGUGAAGGACCCCGGUAAUACAUACAAUUCCGAAAAGUUCAUUGCUGCAAAAAUGCCUUUCAGUUUAGAGGUAAUCCUUCUCUCUUAAUAUGCUCUCAUUUACUAUUCCCAAGACAGCCAUUGCCUCUGUCACAGAACAUUUCAAGAACCCCAAUCUAUAACACAUGGUGUGCAUGUGACCUUCAGCGAAGUUUCUUACUCAAUGUAUUUUGAGUGAUCCUUUCACAAGUGUACCUGUCUCCCUUGAAUUUGUUAGGAACACAAUAGUGCAUUUUAAUGGUAUGUUCUUUCUGAUUGACACAAUCUCUAUUCACACACAUUCAUACCAUUUUCAUGACGACAGCCAAGCACUGUGAUGAUUUGGUAGCCAUAUUUUAAUCUUUAGGUGACAUAGCAUACAAGCUUUCUAUCAUUUUGUUGUGAAUUCUUAUAUUUGAACAUUAAAUAGUACUUAUAAUUGUAUUUUUUGUUCCAUCAAUCAUAAACACUCAUUUUUUAUUCUCUGCUUUAUAACAUACGGAUAUUAGUACUUUUGACUCUUCCUCUGAGUUCUUCCUCUGAGAGAGAGAGAGAAUUAUUUAAUUUUUAGUUCUCAGUGGACACAACAUCUUUGUAUUUUUUUUUUUUAAUGUGGUGCUGAGGAUCUAACCCAGGCCA